GAUGAACGCUGGCGGCGUGCCUAAUACAUGCAAGUCGAGCGAACGGACGAGAAGCUUGCUUCUCUGAUGUUAGCGGCGGACGGGUGAGUAACACGUGGAUAACCUACCUAUAAGACUGGGAUAACUUCGGGAAACCGGAGCUAAUACCGGAUGAUAUUUUGAACCGCAUGGUUCAAAAGUGAAAGACGGUCUUGCUGUCACUUAUAGAUGGAUCCGCGCUGCAUUAGCUAGUUGGUAAGGUAACGGCUUACUAAGGCAACGAUGCAUAGCCGACCUGAGAGGGUGAUCGGCCACACUGGAACUGAGACACGGUCCAGACUCCUACGGGAGGCAGCAGUAGGGAAUCUGCCGCAAUGGGCGAAAGCCUGACGGAGCAACGCCGCGUGAGUGAUGAAGGUCUUCGGAUCGUAAAACUCUGUUAUUAGGGAAGAACAUAUGUGUAAGUAACUGUGCACAUCUUGACGGUACCUAAUCAGAAAGCCACGGCUAACUACGUG
rnacentral:rRNA from 1 species